rnacentral:rRNA from 1 species
GGAAGUAAAAGUCGUAACAAGGUUUCCGUAGGUGAACCUGCGGAAGGAUCAUUAAAAAAGUACGGGGGAGACGUUGCUCUUGUUUCUUUGGAAUCGGGACGGCGUUUCCUUUUAGUAUCCAAAUUCUAAAAAUUUUCCGAGUCUGACAUGCAUAUGUAUGCUUAGAUUCAAAAAAAAAAAAAAAUAAUUGAAAACAAAACUUUCAACAAUGGAUCUCUUGGCUCUUGCAUCGAUGAAGAACGCAGUGAAGUGCGAUAUGUAGUGUGAAUUGCAGAAUUCCGUGAAUCAUCGAAUCUUUGAACGCAUAUUGCACUCUCUGGUAUUCCGGAGAGUAUGCCUGUUUGAGGGUCAUUUGAAAUAAUAAAAAUUUCAAGAUUUCUUGGAAUUUAAAAUGGGUUGUCCAUUUUUCGAUGGUCGCCUAAAAUGCAAGACAAGCUCAUUUCUUGGGUUGCGUGAUACUUUUCAGUUACCUCGUGACACUUACCAAGGAAUCAUCGGGCGUGUUAUGAAUUUUGCAAGAGAUAAAUAAAUUCGAUUUAUCUCGUGUGAAAUAUCAAUUGAAUCAUGACCUCAAAUUAGGUAGGAGUACCCGCUGAACUUAAGCAUAUCAAUAAGCGGAGGA